GGGGGAAUGGCGCUGCCUUACCAUGCAGUCGAACGGUAACGAUGAAAACAAUCUCUUCGGAGUGCGUUUUCAGGCGACCAGUGGCGGACGGGUGAGUAAUACAUAGGAAUCUACCCUACGGCGGGGGAUAACUCGGGGAAACUCGAACUAAUACCGCAUAUACCCUACGGGGGAAAGUUGAGGACCUCUUCGGAGGCUUGACACCGUUGGAUGAGCCUAUGCCUGAUUAGCUUGUUGGCGGGGUAAAAGCCCACCAAGGCAACGAUCAGUAGCUGUUCUGAGAGGAAGAGCAGCCACAUUGGGACUGAGACACGGCCCAGACUCCUACGGGAGGCAGCAGUGGGGAAUAUUGGACAAUGGGCGCAAGCCUGAUCCAGCAAUGCCGCGUGUGUGAAGAAGACCUGCGGGUUGUAAAGCACUUUCAACAGAGAAGAAAAUACGGUGUUAAUACCACCGGACUAUGACGUUAUCUGUACAAGAAGCACCGGCUAAUUCCGUGCCAGCAGCCGCGGUAAUACGGAAGGUGCGAGCGUUAAUCGGAAUUACUGGGCGUAAAGCGUGUGUAGGCGGUUUAGUAAGUCAGAUGUGAAAUCCCCGGGCUUAACCUGGGAACUGCGUUUGAUACUAUUAGACUAGAGUACAGUUGAGGGAAGCGGAAUUCCAGGUGUAGCGGUGAAAUGCACAGAUAUCUGGAAGAACACCAGUGGCGAAAGCGGCUUUCUGGACUGACACUGACGCUGAGACACGAAAGCGUGGGGAGCAAACAGGAUUAGAUACCCUGGUAGUCCACGCCGUAAACGAUGUCAACUAGCUGUUUGGGAUUUUGUCUCAAGUGGCGCAGCUAACGCGUUAAGUUGACCGCCUGGGGAGUACGGCCGCAAGG
rnacentral:rRNA from 1 species